AUGAUGAUAGGAUUAGAUCAAGUGAUCUUUUGGAAGGUUUAGGAUGGGAUAAUCUACAUGUUAGGCGGGCUAAGUUGAAGACUAUCCUAAUGUAUAAAAUCCUUAAUGAAAAUUGUUCGCCAUGUUUAAGAGAAGCCUCGUAAGACUUAGCGAACCAUAAUUUACGAAAUCAGGAAACGUAUCUAGCACUUCCAAAACCAAAAACUAAUUUUUUGAAGCGAAGCUUUAAAUAUAGUGCAUCAAUGCUGUGGAAUAAUCUUCCAUUAGAUGCAAAAAGAGCGACUUCGCUCAGUCAAUUUAAGCGUAGCAUUGCGCAGCUGUCCUUUUAGAACCAUGUUUACUUAAUUACAGUUAACUCUCUUUACUAACUUUACUUACUUUAUUUUUCUUUGUUGUUGGGGGAGGAGGGGAGGUUGGGGGUUCAUAUAUUAUUCUAUAUAUUUUACUAUUUUAUAUAUCACGCCCCUCCUGUAAAUCAGCUUUCAGUUGUGCGAGGCUAGCGUGUUUU